AAUUGUUUUAGGCUAGUAUUUUUGGGACUAGCUAACAGUCGUGGGUCGUGGGUAGAAUGUCGUGGGUCGUGGGUAGAAUGUCGUGGGUCGUGGGUAAAAAGUCGUGGGUCGUGGGUAAAAAGUCGUGGGUAAAAAGGCGUGGGUCGUGGGUAAAAAGGCGUGGGUCGUGGGUAAAAAGGCGUGGGUCGUGGGUAAAAAGGCGUGGGUCGUGGGUAAAAAGGCGUGGGUCGUGGGUAGAAAGGCGUGGGUCGUGGGUAAAAAGGCGUGGGUCGUGGGUAAAAAGGCGUGGGUCGUGGGUAAAAAAUCGUGGGUCCCGAAUAAAAAGUCGUGGGUUCCAAGCAAAAUAUUUCCAUAUAUUUACCUUUCUCCCUUUGGAAUGCGUGUUUAUUUUUCUUCUGAGGCUUUCCCAAACUAUGCCCAAAUGUGCAUAGCUUAGAGCGCGUUAAGGCCGGGUUUUUGAUAUCGGCAGAUCCGUUUAUAAAUAUUGUAACCAAGUGUGGAUGAAACAGUUCAACUUCAAGCCCCAUAUAGCUCAAAUAUUUGGACGUUGUAAUCUUAUAGACAGAUAAAUAUUGUAAUUCUUUAAUACGAAAUAGUGCUGUCAAGCCUGUCAUAAAUAGCUAAAUUCUGACAUUCAGGGCUUCACUAUUACUAAUUUGUUGAUCCAUGUUCUUACAGUAAUAAGCGAGAAAUUUCCACUUGGACAGUGUUAAUUUAAUGCAAUGUCUGUUAAUUUACUAGGGAAAAAUAAAAGAAAGCAUUUGAGAGAUUUCACUUAAAUACAUACCAUGAUGUAAACAUACCAAGAAGUAGUGAAUCUAGUGUCAAAUUUAUCAUGAUGUGAUUUGUAUUUUCUAAUGUCAAACAUAUAAGUUACAAAUAUACAGUCACAUAGUGACACAUACAGUAUUUUGUAACAUUCAUGCUUUGACUUAUCUUUCAGUAGGCUUUUGUCGGAUUAUUUUACCGUAGGUUUGAUAACAGAGAGGUAUACUUCUACAUAUUUCUUGAGCAUCAAGUUUCAGCGAAGUCAAUGGCAAGUUGGAAUUUGGAAAUUUCACAGCGCUUAUUUAAUAACAGCCGGAGUAGCAUUGUUUACAUGCAAGGUUUGUUCCGUUUGUAGUUUGCGAUAUUUCAGAAAUCGUUUAGGAUAGACUUCAGCAGUUUUAAAUAACAGCAACUUUGGUUGGUCUAGAGAUAUAUUUUCUUGUAAUGUUUACGACGAUGUCGGUAAUAUCAACAACAAAAUUACCGAUAUGGAUAUCGAUGCAUCACUAUUUUGCAGACCGGCCAUCUUCGAAUUCUUUGUAUAGUAUAUACAUGAAGACCAUAUAUAAGUCAAAUGUCA
rnacentral:lncRNA from 1 species